rnacentral:tRNA from 1 species
GCGGGUAUGAUUUAAUGGUAAAAUAUCUCUUUGCCAAGGAGAAUAUGUGGGUUCAAUUCCCGCUACCCGCU